AGCCCUGGGAGGGAGAGGGGAAGCCUGGGCCCCGGAGGAGAGGUUCUUUGAGCUGCAGUUCCAGUCGGAAGAAACAGAUUUUGAAAGUUUCCUGUUGUUUAACCUUAUCUGGAAAGUAAGCAUUUCAGGGUCUUUCCGAAGGUGAAGGGCACAGUUUGCUCGCACUUGGUUCUUCAGUGUCCCCGGAAGAGAGAAGACUCGGGAGGGACGAGCUCCCCCUGGGUCUUGCUCCCUCUUCUGCCCUUUCACCCGGAGCUCUCACGGCCCAGCCUCCUGACAUCAGCCCUUAUUUUUAGGGAUGUUUUGAUGUGACAUGUGUAACACACGCUGCGACCCAGGCAUUCGGACCGGAUGGCCAAAGGCACUUGAGCUGAUUCACGGUCGGCUGUCCUUCACCUUGGGGCCCGGACAAUGGGAAGCUGGGCUGGAUCCCGGGACUUCUGAGGGUGUGGAGGAAUGACGGAGGUGGGGGGCUCUCAGGGGUCCCCCCGCCAGCCUGCAGGACCAGUCCGCUCUGCUCAGCCAGCUAAGACUUUGUGACCCGCCAAGACCCCUGCCCACCAGCCCUACAGUGGAGGUGCUGCCCAGUGUGCUGCUGGCCACAUGCACACUGCAGGACAAGUCCCAGGGGACAUACAGAAAGCACCAGGAGGCCGCUUGAAAUUAAUUUUCAAGGAGAGAGCCUCCCUGUGCUUUUUGAGGGAGAGGUGGCCCUGGCUUGAUGCUGAGUGCAGUGAUCUACACACGCGUUAGCAAUGGACACCUAGGAGAGGGAACUUGGCUGCAUGGGACCCCCGUCAAUGGUCAAGGACCAGGAAGAGAAGAGAUAGUUUCUUUUUCAGAAACAACCUCCAGUGAAGCAGUGAAAUCACACACACACACACACACACACACACACACACACACCCCUGCAAAACACAUCUGAGCUGGGGCAACCAUGGGGAAGUGUCCCGGUAGGAAUGUGUUAUCUUCCUUUAAGAAGCAACCAGCUCCCCCAUAGCCGGGCUCAGCUUUCCAGCCCAGGCCAUGCUCUUCCUGAGCUGCCCCAUCAGUGACUGAACUUGGGGUGGGGACUUACGUUUUGAGGGCGUGGGCAUUGCUACCUGUCCCAGUCCUCUAAUAGGAAGGCAUUGUUCCGGAGCUGGCGGAGACUCUGCCAGAUUUGCCCCACGGGCCGGGGCUCCCCUUGCUCAACCCUGGUUCCUCCCCUUUCACCUUUUAAAUCUCUUGCUCUUUCUCUGUGUCUGUGACCGCUUCCCAGAGGGCCUGCCUAGUGCAGGAGCACAAACAGGAAGACGUUUGGAAAUCGCAGUGGACCAAAGUCCUUUCCCAGCCCCGACUGCACCGUAGGCCGUUCCCUCUGCCCUACAGUAGUGAGCCUCCAGCUGCUUCGUGCCGGGAGUGCUGGGACCGGCGGAUUCACUCAGACCCGGGGACACCAGGCUUCUGGCUCGAGCCUCGGUGUCAGCAAACCCAGCAGAUGCCUCCAGAAAGGAUCUCAAGGCCUCAAUCACCUGCCUUCCUCCGUCCUUCACGGAUGUGUCCAACCCCAUCAUCAGUGUCUUCUGUGAGUGUAAGACUUUUAAUCCCACCCCAGCAGGAGCCCAGCUUCCCUCCGACCUCCUGCCGAUGCUCAUUUGGAAUGGGGCUGGGGAGCAGAUACGGGAAAGAAGGGAUUCCAGGGAGGCUGAGGAUGGAAAUGCAGACUGGGAUGAUGAGAAGGAGGCCGAAGACAGACUUUGCCUAUGUUAAGGGUUCAGCUGUGUGACCCCCAAAGAUACAUGAAGUCCUACCCACCAGGGCCUGUGAACGUGACCUUCUUUGGGGUACGGAUUUUGCAGUUGUGAUCAAGAUCAGAUGACGUCAUCAGGGUGGGCCCUACUCCGCUUUGAUGGGACCCUUCCGGAAGAGGAGGGAAAAGAAGGCUCCAUGGAGCGGGGGCAGGGCGGGGGAGGCAGAGCCUCGGAGAUGCUGCCCCCCGCCCAGGACCACCCACGGCCUCCAGGACUGGAAGAGGCCGAGAAGGAGCCUCCCCAAGAGGCUUCGGAGGGAGCACGGCCCUAUCUGUCAGCAUCUGUCAACACCCUGGUUUCAGACUCGUAGCCUCUGGAGGGUGGGAGGCUAGAGUUGUUUUCAGCCCCCGUCCGGGACACUCCGUGACGGUGGCCCUGGAAAGCUGGCGCGCCUGGUUCUCUCAUUCCUAAACACAGAGCUGUCCUUACGAUAAGUACCGUGGGUUGCUGUGAUCCUGUGUUGGAGGUACGGCUAUCUCAGCCGCAGAAUAAACUGUGGGAACGAGAAAGAUUGCAGCCGGGGGCUAGCGGGGCCACGGGUCCUGCCAGAGCCGGUAGCCGACGGGGCUGAGCUGCCUGGGACGCAUCACGUGCGCGCCGCCGGCAAGUGAAUGGGCUCUCGGUAGAGACGACCACCGACCACCGUGGGCGGCGGGGGACCGGCAAGCAGCAGUGGGAGGAGGAGAAGAGUGCCCCGGCCGGUCGAUCCGCAGGUGCAAGCGUUCUGGAAGAGGAGGGAGGUCCGGAAUAAAAGGCGGGCUCCGGCUCAUGUUCCCAGAAGGCAAGGCGGGAGGAGAAAGCUUGCCUGGGGGCCGGCCGGGCUCCCCAGGACUGCAAGGACAGCGUCGUGGGACGAGGAGCACCUGCGGGAGACCCCGGGGUCCCUCGUCGCCUCCGGGAGCCGUGCGGAGAGACGGACGGAGCCACCUGUCCCGAGUGUGGUGUCUGGCUUCGGGAGAACUGCAGAAAGGUUUCUUUGCUAAGAGUCACCUCCUUUGUUAGAAUUGCCCAGAAGGGCAGCAGCAGCGGCAGCGCUUCCGGAGAUCAAAGGGUCUGUAUCCCCCAGUGACAGUAUGAGCGGUUUAGGAAUCCCUUGUCACCCCGGAGACAUAGCAGCCGGGACCAUGGUUCUCACAACCUGCGGCUGGUGAGCGCUGCCAGUGAGAGCCUGGCUGGCGGCGGGCACGGGCAGGGCACCAGGGGGGCAUGGGGCAGAGAGUGGAGCCCGUGGCCGGGCUGGGGAUCGGUGGGCCGGUCCCGGAGUCUCAGGGUUUGUGUCCGAAUCGGAGGAAGGGUAAGCAGCGGACAAAGCACAGGAGCCACGGACGGGGUGUCCGGACCUGUUCUCCAGAUGCCAGCGAUGGGAGCAUUGACUCACCCCCGAUCUUACAAGCAUGGACAGUCUAAGGCUGGCCCCCGGCAGUAGCGAGCCAGCGCGGUGACAGGGGACAGUCAGCUCAGAUCUUCACGUCUGCUUCGCUUCUGCUCUCCUCCCAAAGCACAGCUCAUUACGGCCUCAUUUUUCUUCUCUUACUUGGAAAAUGUUAUUACUCGUGCUAAUUCUAAAAUGGGUAGAUUUGAGUUAUGGAAAGAAAUCCUUCUAAAUUAAAAUUCUCUAUGACAAAGAUCUCUGCAUCUCAGUGACCAUCUACUUCAAGUGAUGCUUCGGAUGUCAAAAAUGGCUCUACAAAGUAGGUUUGCGCACCGUUCCCUGGGAGUUAUUAAAUACCCAUAUCAAGCAAAGUCAACAAACGUGUGCUUAGUGGCAAUUAUGGUUAUAGAGAAAUAAAAAAAUUUAAAACAA